rnacentral:tRNA from 1 species
AGGCACGUAGCUCAGUUGGUUAGAGCACCACCUGUGGGGGUCGUUGGUUCGAGUCCAAUCGCGCCUACCA